GUUUCAUUUCAUAACAUCUCCGCCUGGCUUUUCUUGAUGCGUUUUUUCAAUUUUUCCCUUCAGAGAGAAGAUCACUAUUAAUUUAGGUGAGCUGAGAAACAGCUCAGAUGGAUGGGUUUGGUUCCUCUCCAGUGACAUCCAUGCAGGUUAUUACAUAAGCAGUUUACUGCAGUGAAGUCAUUACACUGCGUCCAGCCCCAGAGCAGCCUCUGCUUGUUUGACUCCUCAGCUCCUGUUUAACCACUUCCCUCCAAACAGUUGACCUCCUGCUACAUAAUGAGGCAGAAAAUGCCCUGCAAUAUUGGAAGUGUAUAAGAAAUAGUUGGCUUCAUACCCAAACCAGAAAACUGAGGCUCAGUGUGUCUCUGCAGCUAAACAAAGGACCAUGGCCCCGAGGAACAAUGGUGGGAAAAAGAGGGGAAUUCUACAGGACAG
rnacentral:lncRNA from 1 species